rnacentral:pre_miRNA from 1 species
CUUGUACUCCCUCUGUCUGAAAAUACUUGUCAUUGAAAUGGAUGUAUCGAGAUGUAUUUUAGUUCUAGACACAUCCAUUUUGAUGACAAGUAAUUCCGGACGGAGGGAGUACUUG